ACAUCACAGACAUACCCUCUUCUCACCCCUCCUACUUCACAGACACACCCUCUCCUGACCCCUCCCACAUCACAGGCAUAACCCUCUUGUCACCCCUCCUACUUCACAGACACACCCUCUCCUGACCCCUCCCACAUCACAGUCACCCACUGGCCAAUAGACCUAAAAGGUUAUCAUAGGCAAAGCACUCACUGUAUCUCUUCCUAACUUCCCAACUACUCCAGAAGACAGAUCCCCAAAGGAGAUUUCCACAUGAGAGGGCACACCAGAUUCAACUCAAGUCAAAGGCCAACUGACUUGCUUAUGUUAGGCCUAGUAGGGCUGGAAAAGAGCUGGAAGCCCUAUCUCCAUGGAGCUGAUGCAGUUAAUUGGAGCGUCUUGAAAGUGCACAUUAACACAGAGAGAGCGGCGGAGACGGCUUGGCAGCGGAAUAUCGUUAUCACUUCUUGAGCUCCAGCCAAAAUCCCCUUGCGGUCAAAACACAAUUCUUUAAACUAAACAAUUAAAGAUUUGUGCGAGCGUG